rnacentral:rRNA from 1 species
CGGGUGAGUAACGCGUGGGUGACCUGCCCCAUACCGGGGGAUAACAGCUGGAAACGGCUGCUAAUACCGCAUAAGCGCACAGAGCUGCAUGGCUCAGUGUGAAAAACUCCGGUGGUAUGGGAUGGGCCCGCGUCUGAUUAGGCAGUUGGCGGGGCAACGGCCCACCAAACCGACGAUCAGUAGCCGGCCUGAGAGGGCGACCGGCCACAUUGGGACUGAGACACGGUCCAA